UACAGAGACUGCAAGCGUUAUUCGGAUUCACUGGGCGUAAAGGGUGCGCAGGCGGCCGAGUGUGUCAGAUGUGAAAUCCCGAGGCUCAACCUCGGAACUGCGUCUGAAACUACUUGGCUAGAGUAUUGGAGAGGGUAACGGAAUUCACGGUGUAGCAGUGAAAUGCGUAGAUAUCGUGAGGAACACCAGAGGCGAAGGCGGUUACCUGGACAAUUACUGACGCUCAGGCACGAAAGCGUGGGGAGCAAAAGGG
rnacentral:rRNA from 1 species